UACAUGGGGUGCAAACGUUGCUCGGAAUUAUUGGGCGUAAAGCGCACGUAGGCGGUUUGUUAAGUCGGAUGUGAAAUCCCUCGGCUCAACUGAGGAAGUGCAUCCGAAACUGGCAAGCUUGAGUACGAAAGAGGAUCGCGGAAUUCCCGGUGUAGAGGUGAAAUUCGUAGAUAUCGGGAGGAACACCGGUGGCGAAGGCGGCGACCUGGGUCGAUACUGACGCUGAGGUGCGAAAGCGUGGGGAGCAAACGGG
rnacentral:rRNA from 1 species